AUUGAACGCUGGCGGCAGGCCUAACACAUGCAAGUCGAACGCGUGGCGGCCGGGUGAGUAAUGUCUGGGAAACUGCCUGAUGGAGGGGGCUAACUACUGGAAACGGUAGCUAAUACCGCAUACCAUCGGAUGUGCCCAGAUGGGAUUAGCUAGUAGUGGGGGUAAAGGCUCACCUAGGCGACGAUCCCUAGCUGGUCUGAGAGGAUGACCAGCCACACGGGAACUGAGACAAGGUCCAGACUCCUAAGGGAGGCAUCAGUGGGGAAUAUUGCACAAUGGGCGCAAGCCUGAUGCAGCCAUGCCGAGUGUAUGAAGAAGGCCGUCGGGUUGUAAAGUACGUUCAGCGGGGAGGCGUUACCCGCAGAAGAAGCACCGGCUAACUCCGUGCCAGCAGCCGCGGUAAUUC
rnacentral:rRNA from 1 species